rnacentral:rRNA from 1 species
GACGAACGCUGGCGGCGUGCCUAAUACAUGCAAGUUGAGCGAUGAAGAUUGGUGCUUGCACCAAUUCGAAGAGCAGCGAACGGGUGAGUAACGCGUGGGGAAUCUGCCUUUGAGCGGGGGACAACAUUUGGAAACGAAUGCUAAUACCGCAUAACAACUUUAAACAUAAGUUUUAAGUUUGAAAGAUGCAAUUGCAUCACUCUAAGAUGAUCCCGCGUUGUAUUAGCUAGUUGGUGAGGUAAAGGCUCACCAAGGCGAUGAUACAUAGCCGACCUGAGAGGGUGAUCGGCCACAUUGGGACUGAGACACGGCCCAAACUCCUACGGGAGGCAGCAGUAGGGAAUCUUCGGCAAUGGACGAAAGUCUGACCGAGCAACGCCGCGUGAGUGAAGAAGGUUUUCGGAUCGUAAAACUCUGUUGGUAGAGAAGAACGUUGGUGAGAGUGGAAAGCUCAUCAAGUGACGGUAACUACCCAGAAAGGGACGGCUAACUACGUG